rnacentral:rRNA from 1 species
GAUGAACGCUGGCGGCGUGCUUAACACAUGCAAGUCGAACGGAAAGGCCCAAGCUUGCUUGGGUACUCGAGUGGCGAACGGGUGAGUAACACGUGGGUGAUCUGCCCUGCACUUCGGGAUAAGCCUGGGAAACUGGGUCUAAUACCGGAUAGGACCACAUUUUGGAUGGUGUGGUGGAAAGUUUUUCGGUGUGGGAUGAGCUCGCGGCCUAUCAGCUUGUUGGUGGGGUAAUGGCCUACCAAGGCGUCGACGGGUAGCCGGCCUGAGAGGGUGUACGGCCACAUUGGGACUGAGAUACGGCCCAGGCUCCUACGGGAGGCAGCAGUGGGGAAUAUUGCACAAUGGGCGCAAGCCUGAUGCAGCGACGCCGCGUGGGGGAUGACGGCCUUCGGGUUGUAAACUCCUUUCGCUAGGGACGAAGCGUUAUGUGACGGUACCUGGAGAAGAAGCACCGGCUAACUACGUG